ACUCCCUGUGGUCGUCUUCCACGUUGUGGAAGGUUUGUUGUUUCGCUUCUUGCAAUAAAUCUUGCUACUGCUUGCCGUUUGGGUUCAGGCUGCUUUUAUGAGCUGUAACACUCACUGCAAAGGUGUGCAGCUUCACUGCUGAAGCCGUUGAGACCACGAAUCCACCGGGUGGAACGAACAACUCCAGACGUGCCACCUUAAGAGUUGUAACACUCACCUCGAACGUCUGCAGCUUCACUCCUGAAGCCAGCAAGACCACGAACCCACCAGAAGGAAGAAACUCCGAACAUAUCCUAAAGUCAGAAGGAACAAAUUCCGUAUACGCUGCCUUUAAGAACUGUUAACACUCACCGUGAGGCUCCGCGGCUUCAUUCUUGAAGUCAGUGGGACCAAGAACCCGCCAAUUCCGGACCCAGGAUUACAGGUGUGAGCCACUGCACUGUUUAAUUUUUUAUUAUAGUGCUGUAGUGAGCCAAAAUGCCGCAACAGUACUCCAGCCUGGGCAACAGAGUGAGACUUGGUCUCAAAAACAACAAAAAGUCAAUUAUGGUCAAUUAUAGUUUUACUUAACCAACUUUCUUUUAUUUUUAAAUUUUUAUUUACUUAUUUAUUUGUGAUAACGUCACGCUCUAUUGCCCAGGCUGGAAUGCCACAGUGUGAUCAUGGCUUACUGCAGCCUUGAUCUCCCAGGCUCAAGUGAUCCUCCCACCUCAGCUUCCUCAGUAGCUGGGACGGUAGGUGCUUGCCACUAUGCCUGACUUACUUUUUUAUUUUUGUUUUUGUAGAAGCAGGAGUCUUCCUAUGUUGCCCAGGCUGGUCUCAAACUCUUGGGCUUGAGGAAUUCUCUUGCCUCAGUUUCACAAAGUCCUGGGAUUACAGGCUUGAGUCACCACACCCAGCCUUAACCAAAUUUGAUGAUAUUCUGGCCAGUUCAGAAUUGCCUUCUGCAGCGUUCAAAAAACAAACAAAACUUGUAAUUUGAAUCACAACGAUUUAUUCAGUGAACUAAGAAGCAUAGCUUUUUCUGUUAUUGAAUUUAUGGACUGUUCACUCUUAAGAAGGAAGGCCAG
rnacentral:lncRNA from 1 species